rnacentral:rRNA from 1 species
CGAUUCAAAACUCCAAGCCCCUUCUCCCCUCCCCUCCUCUCACCACCCCCCAAAACCCUACCACAUCCUCCUCCACCGACGCCAGCCAUGGCGUCGCGUCGCCCCCGUGACGGUAAGCGCCUCUCCCCACAGCCCAUCCGUAACCCUAGCCCCAACCCCAGCCCGAACCCUAACCCCGCCCCCUCCCGCCCCAGUCCGCGACCCGGUGCUGGACAUGGUUUUCCAGGCGGCCUCCGACGACAACCUCCCCCUCUUCAAGGCGCUGGUCAUGGUGCUGGACAUGGGCAGGGGCUGCCCCAAGGAGGCGAUUGAGGGGUUGAGGGUGGAGGAGGCUGGGAAGCUCCAAGGUUUCAGCGCGCUGCACAUCGCCGCCACUAGAGGGAGCCUGCGGGUGUGCAGGUACCUCGUCGAGGAGCUGCUGAUAGAUGUGGAUCUGGUCGACAAGGAAGGUAGAACACCUCUGUUGUUUGCAACAUACCACAAUGGGGGUACUGCCGAGUAUCUUCUCGAUCAUGGUGCUGAUCAAGACAAAGCCAAUAAUGAUGGGAUUUCCCUGUUACAUUAUGCCGCUGAAUCAGGCAAUUGUGAAAUGCUAGAGCUUUUCCUUGCAAAAGGAGCUUAUGUUGACCCGGUAGCUGCUCAUGGAACACCACUUCAUGGUGCUGCUGGUGAAGGGCAAUAUGGUGCUGUGAAGAUUUUAUUGGACCACAAUGCAGAUUACAACAAGAUGGUAAAUGGUGUGACACCUCUUAUGGCUGCUAGAGAUGCCAACUCAACGGAAUGUAUCAAGCUCCUAGUUAAGGUUCAGGAGGAGCCCAUGCUUAAACGGGAAAUCGUGGCAUCAGAGCUUAUAUCACUAGGGAGUAUCUCUUUAAAGAAAAAAGAUUAUGCUGUCGCAGCAAAAUUGUACAGUCGGGCAAUGCAGCUUGAUCCUGAUGAUGCAGUCUUGUUCUCAGACAGGAGCCUUUGUUGGCUUCACAUGGGCGAUGGAAGAAAGGCUUUGCUAGAUGCUAAUAAAUGCAGAAAAAUGCGGCCUCACUGGCCAAAAGCUUGUCGCCGGCAGGGUGAAGCUCUGAUGCUACUGAAGGACUAUGAGGGCGCAAGUGAACGGUUCUUGGAUGGUCUCAAAUUGGACCCAGUGGACACUGACAUCGAGGAUGCAUUACGGGAAGCUAUGAAGUCCUUGAAGACGUCUAGGAGCACGAAAGCCAGGUGACUAUUUGGGUGUUGCAGGGGAAUCAGUUGAAGACUUGAAACGGCUCAGGAGUUUCUUCAUUUGUGCAAAAACUGGUUAUUAGAAAGUAAAGCGAAGUGUCUGAUGGGAGUAUUACCGUUGCAAGUUUGUAUGAGCAUGGCUGUUGAUCAAUGCAGUAAUGUUGGUGGAAGCUCUUCAGUUGACAUCUAUCUAUCCUAUGUCAGGUUUGCAGGUCUUGUUUGAAGCUCACUCGCCCGCCGCGCCGUGUGCCGCGUCCACCAAUAGAUCGCAGCCUUCGCAUUUGUCUUGUUACGGUUUUGCUGAAUCACCCCCCACCCAGGGCUCUGCUUAGUGUUUUUACUACUCACGUUGGUACAGUGUACUGUAGAGACGACGGAGGAGAGGGAUAUGUUUUGUUGGUUUUCUUCGUCCUGUGGCUGCACAAGAAGAGGGGAGCUAGUAUAUACAGU